rnacentral:snRNA from 1 species
GUGCUUACUUUGGCAACACAUAUACUAAAAUUGGAAUGUUACAGAGAAGAUUAGAAUGGCCCCUACUCAAGGAUGAUAUGCAAAUUUUGGAAGGGUUUCAUAUAUUU